UACCUUCUCCUGCCUUAGAUGUCUGUGUUCCUGGCUUUCAGGCUUUUGGACUCAGACCAGCACUUACACCUCCCCCGACUUCUACCCCAUCCUAAUUCUUAGGCCUUUGGACUUGGACUGAAUGACACAACAGUCUUCCUGGUCCUCCAGCAGGAGGCAGGUGAUGGAAGUCAACUCCUCUAAUAAGUCUCCUCAGAAUGUAUCUGUACAUCAUUGGUUCUAUUUCUCUGGAGAACCCUGACUAAUACAUCCUCUUUUUUUUUAUCUUUUUAUGGCUGCAUCUGAGGCAUAUGGAGAUUCCCAGGCUAGCCUCUUAAUACUUCCAACCACUUACUUGUGUACUAUGUACACAUGUCCACUGUAAUCAUGUUUCAAUUAGUCUGAAAGAGGUUGGGCAACUUACUCAAGGCUUCACAUUACCAGGCAAUAAAGCUAGGACCCAAACCUAGGGCAUCAUAUGCCAGAGCCUUUAUCAACCUGAUAUUAAUCUGAUACAGUGACUUAUAUAUUUAAACAUAAUACCAUAUAUUAGGGAAAUUCUUAUUUUAACUUAAAAAUCAUACUUUCAAAUUAUGUCUCACUGGCCCUAAAUAAUAAGUUUAAUGUUUCCUGAUAUGACACUCAAUGACUUGCAUUUUCCAGCUAUUGAUACAGUUCACCAGAGAUGGGCAACAUCUCUCCCCAACUCCAAUAUUCAGUCAUGUCAUGUAGCUUGAAAUCAGCCUUCAUGGGAGUAUAUGCUUCAGCAAUCAACAAAUUCUAGAAAUUAGGGAUUCUUAUAAUUUUUUUUUUCUUGGAGGGCUAGUUGUUAAACAUUUCCCAGCAUACCACUGGACUGAUACCUGCUUUUGUCCAAAUUUUAUAUGUAGUCUUCAUAAAAACUAUCCUGAAAUUCCAAGUGGGAAAGUUAAUGAUUAACCUUGAGCAAAUAUUGGUGCCAGGUUAUAACCAGGUUUUGUUUUGUUUUGCUACAAGAUUACCUGUAAAUAAUUCACAAAGAUUCAAAGAAUUUAGGGAUAUGACACUGACUAGUUUGUUCACAAAGAGCUUAGAAAGCUUAUGUUUGAUAUAAGUCAUUCUACCACCUCCACCCUCACUAUAUUGGGUGCCAAGUGCCAAUGAGGUCUGAUACUUUUGGUAGCUUGGCCUUUAGCAGCUUCUUGUUGCAGCAUCUCCUAUCCAUCCAUCAUGUUAGUGGGAACAUUUACUAACAAGGUCCAAAUGAUGGGUCAAUCAUGUCACUUCAUUGAAGAGAUGAUAAAAGAGCUGCAUCAGAGUCUUGAGCUUCAGUAUCUCAGGAUACAGGAAGUAGAUAUUGUGGGAGAUAGGCAACUUUUAAGUAUUAUUGAUUUAGUUGAAUAAUGGAGUAGAAUAAUUCAAAAGAAAAUCUGUAUCUUGAAAGAGAAGAGAUGACCCAACAAAUAAACACUUGAGUGAAUAAGAAAUGUCAGUAGGGAAACUAGAAGUUGAAAAUACACCUUAACUGGCUCUUACAGGAGUAAGUUUAUGGUUUGCUGAACAGACGAGAUAUCUUUAACCAUUUGUAAAUCCAUCACUGUUUUAUCAGCUCAAUCACUUUUAAUUAACUAACUGCAGAAUCAGCCUGUGUUGUUUCAUACUCUUUUAGCCAUUUUUGAAAGAACAAAUAGAGCUGCAAAGUCAGCAACAGAAUUCUGGACAGGGUGAGCCUUCGGAACAAUCAGAACCGGUAACCACUGCCCAGUGGUCCUGCAACCUGAAAAUCUCACUAAAAACAUACAUGGCUCCAAGCAGCUCCCUUGACUGUCAAAGAUUUGACUGUCAAGAAGUCAGUGAAUUUGCAUUUAGGUUAAUUGCACAAGAAAACAUUUAACACACAUUCUACAAUUUGGCCCAUAAAAAUGGAAUUCCAUCAGAAUGCCAUCUGUUGUGCUGUGAAAAAACAGAUGAAGAUGCAGGUGGAAUUCCUCCAGUCAGUCUGAAAAUUGGUGCGAGAUACUCCAUGUAGACAUGGUUGAGCCAUUUAUCUGCCUGUCUCAGGGGACUCCAUCAUAUGUUCUAAUAAUUUCUCUUAUAUAACAUUAAUAUGUGCCAGGCAUUGUUCUAUGUGCUUUAUAAACAUUAACUAAAUCAAUUUUCAAACUACCCUUCUUACUGAUGAAGAAACUGAAGCUCAGAGAGGUAAAGUAACUUUUUCAAGGAACAGGAUCUGUUCAGCUUUGUCAGGGUCCCUUCUCUAAACACACCAUAAUACAUGCACAGAGACCACCAGUAUAAUGGUCCUAAGACUCCAGAAGCAAUGCCUCCCCCAAGUCCACUGUUGCUCCACUUGGGCACCUUCUGAAUCUGUGUCUUGGGAUCACCCACGGAGCACACGGAUACGCACAGCCAAAGGGUAAUGAUGUUGGGAAAGUAAAAAUUAUCUCACACUCCCAUCUUAGGUUAUUCUGUAACUUUGAGCUUUUACUUUUUUUUUUUUUUUUUUUUUUUUGUCUGUUAGGGCCGCACCUGCAGCAUUUGGAGGUUCCCAGGCUAGAGGUCGAAUGAUCGGAGCAGUAGCUGCGUCUUCAUGGAUGCUAGUUGGGUUUGUUAACCACUGAGCCACAAUGGGAACUCCUGAGCUUUUACAUAUUUUAAAAUUCUCCACACAACAGAGUUAAACCAUAAAUGUUAAACAAUCAAUUCUUAUUUACAUUCAGCUUUUCCAAUAACAGGCUAAUCCUAGAAUGUCAGGAGCAGAUUCAUAGCAUCCUAUAAUGUCAGAACUGGAGGGGACCUUAGACCUCAUCUAGUACAAUGUUCUCACCAACACACACACAAAAAAACUGAGGCCAGGAGAGAUGAAAUGACUUGCAUAAAGUCACAAAGGAUGUUUGUGUUAAUCUUCCAAAAAUCAGUAGAAGUGAAUUUCAGUGUUUCUAGAUGGAGGUUUUUCAACCUCAGUAACACUGACACUUUGGACCUGACCAUUGGUUGCUGUGGGUGCUGGCCUGUGAAUUACAGAAUGUUCUUUGGCAUAAGGAUUAUUUGAGAAACAGCAGACAUGGGAGAAACUACAAAAACACAGAUUCCCCUUUCAUAAGGGUAUAUUUACAGAGGAAAUCUCCAUUUGUAAAAUGUCUCCCUUCCUGCACAAAAAGAAGACUAAAUCACAAGAAACUCUUAUCCCUGGAAAAGGCACAGGCUUAAAUCUAACAAACUUUACUCUCAUUUAGUUUCCUAGCUAGUUUCCUGAUUACCUGCCCAUAACUGGCCUCCCCUGCACCCUUCUCUCUUUUGUCUUUUGCUGAAGAUAGAAUUUAAGCUACCUCUGAGAGAUACUCAGUUUUCUCUGGGUAUUUUCCAUAUAUACAUGAAGUACACAUACCAGUACACUGUUUUAGUCUUCUUAGUCUGUAUUUUGUUUCAGGAGCCCUAGAGAGAACUUAGAAGGAUAGAAGGAAAGUUACUUUUUCCUCCUCUAUAGAAGCAUCCCUGGCCUCUACUCACCAGAUGUCAGUAGCCUCCCCACAAAGUCAUGACAAUCAAAAAUGUCUCCAAACAUUGCCACACGCCUCUUGGAGAAUGUGAUGCGAAAUUGUCUCCAGUGAGAACCGAUGGAUUUUCAUUAUCUAGAAAGGAAAGUUCUGCCCCUUACUCCAAGAUAAUUAGUCAAAGGAUGGAGUCAAUUACAUAAGUCUUAUGAGGAUCACAGAAGUAUUUGCUAGUAGAAAUUGGUUGAAAUUAGCUUUUAGGCCACUCUAGUCCACAAAGUAAUGGACAGAAAUAGUUAAAUACUGUUGCCCUUGGGUUGUAUUUUGUCAGGGCAUAAAGCAUUGUUCUGGUGCUUCCCAAGGAAUUAAAUCUAUUCUCAUCUUGGAUUCCUGCAAGAAAGUAAACCUCCUUGCCUGAUGGAAUUUAAAACCUCAUUCCCAUGUAGCACUUCCAGGGCAUAGAGCAUGCUGCUUGUAGCAAAAAGGAUAUAACUGACACAAUGUCAGGGGAUGUUCUCAGAUUAGCUAGCUGGAUAUUGAGAGCAGCACAUCAUUUAGCCAUUAUUGACGUAGGAAACUAGCAUUUUACAGGGCGUUAUGAAAGAAACUAGAGAUUUCUUUAGGUAACUUUUUGUCAGAAUUCGAAGACUUGGUUUUGAGGCUGUCGUAAGCAGAGACUAAGAGCAGAGGUUUGAAGCUGAGCAUACCUCAUUGUGGAUACUGUGGGAGAUCAGAGAAAAGGAGCACACACCAGAUAAGAAGAGACUCUGCUCUCAGCUACGGUGCCUAAUGGCUGUCACCCACUGCUUAAUGAGGGGGAGCACCCACCUGCUAGCAGAGUAGCUUUCCAGUGCUUGUGUCAUGUCCCCUUUGCAGCAGCUUCAGGGGACAGUUCACUCUCCCAGUCGCAUUCUGCCCUGGCACCUUGUCCGUAGGAGGUGACAUCCUCUGCCCUCAUGCAAGUACAAGCCCCAGAGGGUGGGGGUCUUAGCAAGUUUACAUGUAACCCUCAAAUGGAACAUAGCCAAUAGAUAAAUGCUCCAGUCUCCUGUCUUCAGGUGGAAAAUUCUGGAAGACAUUCUGCAGACUUUUCAGUGGAAUCAAGUCUCUUACUGCUUGUAACAGUGACCUCUCUACAUGUUAUUUAUAUUGGAUUUUCCUUUUCCCUUGUCUUAUUCUCUUGCUCCUCAUUCCUGCUUCCUGGGAUCACUUCUCAAAUAAACCUCCUAGAUCAGAGUUCUGGCCUCAGGCUCUCCUUUCAGAGGAACCCCUAUUCCCCUAUACCUACUACAUAGGAUUCAUAUCAUUGUAAAUAUUUGAGUCCAGAUUAACUAUAUAGUCAAUGGUACCUGGUUCUCACCCCAGAGUCUGAGUUCAUUCAUUCUCAGUAGUCAUUUUGUUAUCCCCAUAUGGGCCUCAAUUAUAGAUACAAAUAUCCCUCUGAUAUUGUUAUGAGUCAGUAUUCAGGAUGGGUGCCUCCUACAUUAGAGUCAACAUUGUGGCUAACAAAAUUUAUUUCUGUCUGGUUGUGCUAUAUAUUAGAAAAUAAUCUCUUGAUAUUGAGUAAGAUUUAAAUCCAUAAACUAACUGAAUUCCUAAAUCCUUUAGCCAAGAGCAGCCAUGAUUUUUAGCUUUCCAUAUCAAAGCAUAUGAUUAGGAGUGGCCUCUUAGAUUAUUAACCUUAGCCAGUGUGGAAAAACUGGGAUCCAUCUUAAUGAGGAAAGUGACUUCCACGAUAUGCUUUGAGAGUUAUAAUACAUAGGAAAGUUAAUCUGUCUUUGAGGCUGCCUAACAAAUUUAAGUACUUUUCCUUAUUAUAUUUAUAUAACUUGAGUAUUAUGCAAAAAAAUAAGUAAAAAUCUAUAUGAAAAUCUUUUAUCUUCCCAAGCCCCCUUUUAAAUAAACAUUUUAUUUAUUUAUUUUUGUAUGUUUUUAUUAAAGUAUAGUUGAUUUAUAAUGUGUCAAUUUCUUCUGUACAGCCAAGCAAGAAAAUUCUUUUUUUUUUUGUCUUUUUGCUAUUUCUUGGGCUGCUCCCGCGGCAUAUGGAAGUUCCCAGGCUAGGGGUCGAACUGGAGCUGCAGCCUCCAGCCUACACCAGAGCCACAGCAACGCGGGAUCCAAGACACAUCUGCAACCUACACCACAGCUCACAGCAUCACCAGAUCAUUAACCCACUGAGCAAGGGCAGGGACCGAACCCGCAACCUCAUGGUUCCUAGUCGGAUUCGUUAACCACUGCACCAUGACGGGAACUCCGCAAGAAAAUUGUUAUGAUUAGUAAUAGGCCUGUAGUUUGUGCUUUCAUUCCUCUUAGAAAAGUCUCUCAGCUUUCAGGGUGAUGAUGGGGAGAAAAUGGAUAAGCUCAGUGCUUUGGGAACUCCUAUAGUAGAGUGUAUGACUAGAGAACUUAGAAUUGCCUUCCAUGGAGCCCUUAGAUUUAAAUCUCCAAGCAUUCAGGCCCAUGUUAUUGGCCUCUGUCCAUAUCCCACAGUAGCUGAAUGCAUUAUACUAAAUGCCUACACUUACCUGAGUCUAUGGACCAGGCACUGUUCUCAGAGAUUUUUGUCUGUUAACUCUUCUAGUGAGAUGUGCUUGAUAAAUAUUUUAGGGUAUUGGAUAAACACAUAAUAAUUAUUUACCUACAAUGUUUAGAUAAAAUCUAAAGCAAGUUCAAAAAAAUCAGUUAAUAAAUUUUUGAAAACUGUUCAACUCUAGAACUUU
rnacentral:lncRNA from 1 species